rnacentral:rRNA from 1 species
AAUACGUAGGGUGCGAGCGUUAAUCGGAAUUACUGGGCGUAAAGUGUGCGCAGGCGGCAGAGCAAGUCGAGUGUGAAAGCCCCGGGCUUAACUUGGGAAUUGCGCUCGAAACUACUUUGCUGGAGUGUGGCAGAGGAAGGUGGAAUUCCACGUGUAGCGGUGAAAUGCGUAGAGAUGUGGAGGAACACCAAUGGCGAAGGCAGCCUUCUGGGCCAACACUGACGCUCAUGCACGAAAGCGUGGGGAGCAAACAG